AUUGAACGCUGGCGGUAUGCUUAAGACAUGCAAGUCGAACGGUAACAGGCAGAGCUUGCUCUGUGCUGACGAGUGGCGGACGGGUGAGUAACACGUGGAAAUCUACCCAGUAGCGGGGGAUAAGUCAGAGAAAUUUGAUCUAAUACCGCAUACGUCCUACGGGAGAAAGGCUUCGGCCACUAUUGGAUGAGUCCGCGUUAGAUUAGCUUGAUGGUGAGGUAAAGGCUCACCAUGGCGACGAUCUAUAGCUGGUCUGAGAGGAUGAUCAGCCACAUUGGGACUGAGACACGGCCCAGACUCCUACGGGAGCAGCAGUCGGGAAUAUUGGACAAUGGGCAAAGCCUGAUCCAGCAAUACCGCGUGUGUGAAGAAGGCCUGCCGGGUUGUAAAGCACUUUCAGUAGGGAAGAUAAUGACGUUACCUAC
rnacentral:rRNA from 1 species